rnacentral:lncRNA from 1 species
CUUCACUUCACUCCUCUCAGCUCCACCUGUCUGCCUGCUUACAACCUGUGUCUGUGUCUGUUCUUCUGUGCGCCUCCUCACAGGUAUUCCUCCACAGUUUUCCUUUAAUGUCUUCCAUGUUGUUGCAUCUAUCAAUUGCUCUUUCCUCUUUAUUUCUAAGUAUUACUGUAUGAACACUUUGUGAUUAUGUUGAUUCGCUUGUUUUCUUGUCUUUGAGACUUGUGUGUAUGAGACAGGUAGGAAGGUAUUUUUUUUUUUACCACAGUUGGAUUUUUUCAUUUUAUAUUUCAUAUAAGGUAAUAUGGUCCUUGGGGAAAACUCAGGCCUACUGAACAUAUUUACACACAUGACAUUGCCCAGACAGAAAUGUGCUCCAAUCCACUAUGCUACACAGAUGGCCUAUUGCAUUUAUUGAUUCUUCUACCUAUAGAUUCGAAAGGUGUUAUUAGAGAUUUCAUAUCUGGAAGUAUAAUUGGCCACAGAACGUAAUGGGAAGAGAAUGGGUGUCAGGGAGGUUUGGUUGCUCAUGCUCAGACAUUUUUCUUGAAUCUGGCUGUCUAAAAAUUAGCUUCCUUACUCACACAAUGGAAAUAUUGAUGUGCAACUCAUGAAGUUAUGAGAAGCCAGAAUAAAAUAAGUUUUAAACAGUGAUAGAGUUCUCAGCAAAUAGUCCUCUCAUUCUUCUUUUCUCAUCUCCUUAUUCAGAAUGAUCUUUUGGCAUAGAUAAAUUUUUAAACUUCUAUUGCUUGUCACCUAUCUUCAUCUCCAUUACCAUGUUCAUCGCUGCAACCUACAACCUCAAAAUCACACCUUACAGGAAGUUCUGUUGCUUUUGCUGUAAAUAAUAAGAGCCAAUAAAAACAUAUCAGGAAACACUAAUUUGGAUAGUGGGCAUGGAAAUAGACUAUAAGAAAAAAUAAAGAGCAACUGAAAUGUAAUGCUAUAUAAUAUAUCAAGCAGAUGUGUGU